rnacentral:rRNA from 1 species
CCUACGGGAGGCAGCAGUGGGGAAUAUUGGGCAAUGGGCGCAAGCCUGACCCAGCAACGCCGCGUGAAGGAAGAAGGCUUUCGGGUUGUAAACUUCUUUUCUCAGGGACGAAGCAAGUGACGGUACCUGAGGAAUAAGCCACGGCUAACUACGUGCCAGCAGCCACGGUAAUACGUAGGUGGCAAGCGUUAUCCGGAUUUACUGGGUGUAAAGGGCGUGUAGGCGGGAAAGCAAGUCAGAUGUGAAAACCAUGGGCUCAACCUGUGGCCUGCAUUUGAAACUGUUUUUCUUGAGUACUGGAGAGGCAGACGGAAUUCCUAGUGUAGCGGUGAAAUGCGUAGAGAUAUGGAGGAACACCAGUGGCGAAGGCGGCUUCCUGGUCUGCAACUGACACUGAGGCGCGAAAGCGUGGGGAGCAAACAGGAUUAGAUACCCGGGUAGUC